rnacentral:ncRNA from 2 species
UGUGUCAGCUAGGGGUGCUGUAUUACGGCUGAGAUCAAACCCUUAGAACCUGAGACCGGCUAGCACCGGCGGAGGGAAGCUGUUCAUCCGAGGA